UACAGAGGUCCCAAGCGUUGUUCGGAUUCAUUGGGCGUAAAGGGUGCGUAGGCGGCGCGGUAAGUCGGGUGUGAAAUCUCGGAGCUUAACUCCGAAACUGCAUUCGAUACUGCCGUGCUUGAGGACUGGAGAGGAGACUGGAAUUUACGGUGUAGCGGUGAAAUGCGUAGAUGUCGUAAGGAAGACCAGUGGCGAAGGCGGGUCUCUGGACAGUUCCUGACGCUGAGGCACGAAGGCCAGGGGAGCAAACGGG
rnacentral:rRNA from 1 species